rnacentral:tRNA from 1 species
GAGCUUUAGCUCAGUUGGUUAGAGCAACCGGCUCAUAACCGGUCGGUCCUGGGUUCGAGUCCCCGAAGCUC